CAGCCAGCGGCGCCCUGCCCUCCUCGCGAGCCACAGGUACCCACCUGUAGUUCCCCAGAACGAGAGCCCCACUCGGGACACCGACCCCGGUGGUUCGGAAGCAGGACGGGGUUCUCCUCAUCCCCAAAAUUCCCAGAGCAAUUCCGUUGCAGCACCAGAGCAGCUGGGAAGCUAUCAACCCCCCCAAGGCACUCACAGGGCAUUAAGAGCCCUCGGGGCUCCACGAGGACGAGCGUUAUCAGAAUCCAAGGAGAGCACAGCACCACCAGUAUACGUAUACUUUAUUUCCUCAUCUCCCGGUAACAAAUAAAAAACAAACACACCCCCAGUCAUUCUCCCCCCCCAGCCCGCACCGCCUGUCCCCAUCCCCGAGCCCCGCUCCCCCCAGCUCAAACAUCAUAGUUGGGGUUCUUGCGCAGGAUGACGAACCCCUCCAAGAUGGGGGUCACGGGCACAUGCUCUUCGGUGGCCAGCUCUGCCCGCUCACCGUGUGCCAGCAGCACGGGGGUGGUAUGGGUCUGGAAGCCAGUGAUGGUUUUGGGCUUGCCUGCUUGGCCCACCACGUCCACAGCCUGUCCGACCCGAACCGACACGGGCAGAGGGCGCAGCUCCUCAUCGAAGGUGACCAACAUGCGGGGCUGCAUGGCUGCAACCAGCCCGUAGAGCACAUAGUGGGACUUGCCCAGGAUAAUGUUGCGCACAUCCAGGAAGGACACAAGGACGGUCAGCAGUCCAGCUACAGCCACCUGGCUCAUGAGCUGGCGAUCGCUGUGGUAGGGGCACAGGGUGAGCGUCCCCUUGCCCAAGUGGGUCAGGCCCUGGGCUAACCGCACCAUGAAGAGGUUGUUGGGGUCCUUGGCGUGGUACUGGGCGAGCUGCCGCAGCAUAGCCGCCAGCCGGGCGUUGUUGGUACCGCUGCCCACCAUGCCCAUGGCAAAGAUGGAGUUGUAGGAGACUUCGGGGUCAGCAUCGUGGGAGAACUUGCUGAGGGUGUCGAGGAUGUUGAGUCGGGGGUUAGAGACAGAGAUGAGCGCCAGGGCCAGGGGCACAGCACGGCGCAGGGUGGGCUCCCCAUACCGCAGCAGGUGACCAAACGUGCGCAGGGCCAUCUCGGCACCGAUCUCCUCACCCAUGGCAAUAAGUGCGAUGCCCAACACUGCUACACCCUGGUGUGCCCCCAUGUCAGCUGAGCUUUCUUUCUUCUCUUUCUCCUUCUUGUCCUUCUUGUCCUUAUCUUCCUCUUUCUCCUUGGAGUCAAAGUGCUCGCUGCAGAUGUGCAGAAGCUGCUGAACCUUCAGUACGUUCCCUGAACCAGCGUAGGCACAGAUGUCCACCAAUGUGUUGGCAAAGCUGCGGAACGGCUCCGACACCACCUCCAGCGCUGCCAGGAUGGCCUCGAUGGCCUCUCC
rnacentral:lncRNA from 1 species